GUCACUUUGGUAGAGUGGCCUAAUACGUUGCCCUGCUAAUACUAGCAUGUUAGGCAAUCCCUUCGGGGGCGCAGGUUCGAAUCCUGCAGGUGACG